AUGGCUUACUCCAUUCUCCUCGGGGCAGUAAUUGCGUUGCUUGUAGCUGCAGUUCUCCAACUCUUUCACAAAAACUUCUACAGGCUCUACUACUCAGCCUAUAAGCUGCCUCCUGGUAAUCUCGGCAUGCCGGUUAUCGGCAGUACUUUCUCUCUCCUCCGCGCCUGCCGCAGCAACACCGACGACCAAUGGUUCCGAGACCGGAUCAAGAAAUAUGGCCCGGUCUCUACCAUGUCGUUGUUUGGGUCGCCGACGGUGCUACUGGCCGGGCCGGCGGCGAACCACUUCAUAUUCGGCAACGACGGACUCAUCUUGACGCAGACAGGCGCGCUGAGAGCCCUCGUUGGGCGGUCGGUACUGGCACUCACGGGCAGCGAACUGAAGCUGGUCCGCAGCGCCCUGCAGGGUUACUUGAAGCCAGAAAUGGUGAGGAGAUACGUCUGCAAGAUAGACCAUGAGGUCAGGAGCCACAUCGAACUAAACUGGGUCGGUCGUGACUCUAUCACGUUGAUGAUUUUACAGGUCCUACCAAUGGUGAGGAGACUUUCGCUUGCUAUCAUAUGUUCGGUUGUCUUGGGCCAAGAGUCAGCUACCAUCAAAGAAGGACUGUGCACUGAUUUUGUUACUCUUGGGAAGGCUAUUUUAUCAUUUCCGGUAAAUAUACCAUUCACCCGGUUCAACAAAGGUAUGGCUGCAAGUGCGAAGAUACGGAAGGCUAUCACAAAUAUUGCCCACAAGAGGGAAGAGUCACUAUUGCAGGAAGCAAAUGCCACUUCUGAUAAUGACUUCAUCAGCUACAUGCUCAUUCUUCGUUCUCAAGGUGCCCACUCCCUCACUCUGGAAGACAUUGUAGACAACACGAUGGGCCUCAUCGUAGGGGCACACGAGACGACUUCUGCUCUUAUCACCUUCAUGAUCCGGUACCUCUACAAUGAGCCAGAUAUCCUUGACAAAGUUACUAGAGAGCAAGAUGAGAUUGCACAGAAUAAAAACCCAAAAGAUGCUCUAACUUGGGAUGAUGUUGCAAAGAUGAAAUAUACGUGGAAAGUGGCAAUGGAGACACUAAGAACAAUUCCUCCAGUUUUUGGGAGCUUCCGAACAACUACCAAAGACAUUGAAUACCAGGGUUACCAUAUCCCAAAAGGCUGGAAAGUCUUCGCAGCGCAAAGUGUGACACAUAUGGACUCGCAAUUCUUUCAUGAGCCUAACAAAUUCAAUCCUUCCCGGUUUGAGAAAUCCGCCCCUCCGUACUGCUACAUGCCAUUUGGAGGGGGUCCAAGAAUGUGCCCUGGUAAUGUGUUUGCAAGGGUAGAAACUAUGGUGGCCAUGCACUAUCUAGUAAGGCAGUUCAGGUGGGAAAUAACGUGUGAAAAGGAAACCUACAAGAGGGAUCCAAAGCCGACGCCCAUCCUUGGACUUCCAAUUAAACUCAAGUUGAGACCCCUUGCCAAAAACCUCCAAGUCACCACUAUGGAUACCGAAAUAGGUUAA
rnacentral:rRNA from 1 species